rnacentral:rRNA from 1 species
UACGGGGGGUGCAAGCGUUGUCCGGAUUUAUUGGGUUUAAAGGGUGCGCAGGCGGUCUGUUAAGUCAGUGUUUAAAUCGUGCAGCUUAACUGUACUAUGGCACUGAUACUGACGGGCUUGAGUGUAGUCGAGGUUGGCGGAAUUUAUGGUGUAGCGGUGAAAUGCUUAGAUACCAUAAAGAACACCGAUAGCGAAGGCAGCUAGCCAGGCUACUACUGACGCUCAUGCACGAAAGCGUGGGGAUCAAACAGGAUUAGAUACCCUGGUAGUCCACGCUGUAAACGAUGAUUACUCGAUGUUGGCGAUACACAGUCAGCGUCUUAGCGAAAGCGAUAAGUAAUCCACCUGGGGAGUACGCUCGCAAGAGUGAA